AUGUUAUGGAUUGAAUUUCGGUUUAAGAGAUGGAUAGGGUUCGAGAUAUGGUUGACGGGUAUGAAGGUUACAAUGCGGUUUAGGUUUAUUGCAGCGAGGUUUAGGUCUGUAAAAUUGGUGGUGAAGGAUUGGAGAUGGUAUAGAGAUGUAGAAGUGGGCAGCAGGGCUGAUUUUGGACAGCAAGGUGCAGAAGCAACAUGGUUGUUUUUGGACAUGGAGGGCUAG